UACGUAGGCUGCGAGCGUUGUUCGGAAUUAUUGGGCGUAAAGAGUGCGUAGGCGGUGAUCUAAGUCUGUCGUGAAAUCUCCCGGCUUAACUGGGAGGGUGCGGCGGAAACUGGAAUGCUAGAGUGUGGGAGAGGUAAGCGGAAUUCCAGGUGUAGCGGUGAAAUGCGUAGAUAUCUGGAGGAACACCGGUGGCGAAGGCGGCAUCCUGGACCAAUACUGACACUGAGGAGCGAAAGCCAGGGGAGCAAACGGG
rnacentral:rRNA from 1 species